GCUAGCGGCAGGCCUAAUACAUGCAAGUCGAGGGGCAGCACGAGUAUUUCGGUCUUGGUGGCGACCGGCGGACGGGUGCGUAACGCGUAUGUAACCUGUCCAGAACCGGGGGAUAGGCUGUGGAAACACGGAUUAAAACCCCGUAACACACUCAUACCGCAUGGUAUGGGGGGUUAAAGCCCGCAAGGGUGGUUUUGGGUGGGCAUGCGUCUGAUUAGCCAGUUGGUGAGGUAACGGCUCACCAAGGCGACGAUCAGUAGGGGGUCUGAGAGGAUGAUCCCCCACACUGGAACUGA
rnacentral:rRNA from 1 species